rnacentral:antisense_RNA from 1 species
UUUGAUAGAGAAGGGACAGGGAACAGAACCUUCGCCCCCCGCCUGAGCAGCUGGUAGACUAGAUAUCUUCCAAACAUUAUCUCAUUUACUUCCCUGGAGUUACAAAUAGGUAGAUUUCAUGUCCGUUGAGGGGUGAGAAAGCUGAAACUUUGAGACUUAAGAAUCCUGGCCGAGGUCAGCCUCCUCCGAAGCUUCAUCUCUUGCCACCACUUUCUGGUGCACACCUAGGACAGAUUUCAAUCCCUGAGAUCCCAGGAUGAAACCUAUGUUUGCCAAAUACCAGCUACUGUGCCAGAAGAGAUCAUGGAACCAGGUGUGGAAACCUGCUUGAGAAGAGGAGCCAAAACAUCAUAGUUGAACCGUCCUGGAAUAGAAACUCGCCCUGAAUUCUUUCUUGUGUGAAAUCCAAGAGCCCUCUCUUGGGGUUGGAUCAGGACCCUGUUCCUGUAAGAAGUCCACAAUGCCAGAGAAUUAAAGAGAACCACAAAGCUGAACCUCAAAAAGUUAGCCUGGCGAGGGGAGGAUGAUGAGAUUACCCCUCUUGUCACAUAAACAAGGAAGUAAAGGAGGCCCCUUGUGCUCUCAGAACUCCAAGCAUGAAACGAUAGCAAAGGGAAAAACAGCUAAGUGUUUCCUGGCUGAAUUGUAUUUUGCUUUCAGUUUCUGCCAUUUCAGUUCCUGUUAUCGUGCUUUGAGGUGCACUGAACUGCAGCAAACCCAGAGGAUCCAAGGCUACGCUGAAAAGCCUCUGACCACAGUGCAGGGAGCAGAAGACAUUAAUGACAUGAUGUCGACACAACCCGCACUCAGGAUCCUCCAGGAAAAGAACACAGAGAUAACCCCGGAUCGAUGGUACUUUUUGAAAAUGCUUUACUGCAAAAGAGUGGCUAGGGUUUUACAAGGGCUAUGAAGAAACAUAUUAAGGUUAAUAAAGCUUUUUAUUGAGUGUUUA